GUGGAGGAAGCCCUAACCGACACGCGGUUACGUGAACCACCCUACAGCGGCGAGGAGUAUAGCAAUCCUCUCGCACAUGAUCAUCCCCGCAUGGGAUUUGAACCCACGAAAGGUAAUCAGAGCAGCAGAGAGGAGGUGAUGAAGGUAUUCCUAACGCGGCACACCGCCGAGCCUUGAACUUAUAAAAUAAUACGGUAAUAUUCCGCAUUUGAACUAGCAUCAGAAUAUGUAAUUUACUCAUGAUUUGGCACUGAAGUACCGAACAUUUUGAUGGUGUUUUUACUCAGAUGCAGUACGGUAUCGUACCCUACUUUUGUUAACCCUAACAAUCUGACUAACCCCUUUUUAACAUACAGUACUAGCUUAUACCUCCAUACACUAUAUUGCAUUAGGUAACAUAUUUCUGUAUUGCAAUAUUAGUUAAGACUUGAUGAACUUGGCCAUAACUGCCUUAAACAAGUCGAGACAGUGGGGAUCUCGAACUUCAUGCUCAUUUUUUAUCAAUAAAGUUAUGUCAGAAACUGCUCCUAUAUCCCGGAAAAAUCAUUUUGAUAUCAGACUCCCUUAUUGUUAUGACCCGUUUAAUCAUGGACAGGAUGAAGUCAUAGAUGUCAGAACACCCAAUGAAUAUGCUGAGGAUCACAUACCAGGAUCUAUUAACUUACCUGUUCUUACAAAUGAUGAAAGACAUGAGGUUGGCAAGGAAUAUGCAGACAACUCAUUUUUGGCCAGACGAAUUGGUGCAUCAUUGAUAUCCAACAAUAUAGCUACAAUUAUAAAGACUCAUUUUUCUGAUAAACCCAAGACCUAUUCGUGUUUAAUAUAUUGUUGGCGUGGAGGACAGCGUUCAAAAAGUCUAUCAGUAGUCUUGAACAUGAUCGGAUAUGAUGUCAAAUUUCUGUCUGGAGGAUACAAAACUUAUAGGAAAGAAGUUAUUUCACUGCUGUCACACAUUCCAUCUCAGUUUUCAUACAAUAUUGUUUCAGGCAUGACUGGAUGUGGCAAAACUUUAUUGCUCGACCAACUACGUGAAGCUGGUGAACAAGUAUUAGAUUUAGAGGCUUUGGCCAAGCAUAAAGGUUCUGUACUUGGUAUAAAUUGUGAUGAUGAUGAUCAACCAAGUACUAAAAUGUUUGAAAGCCAGUUAUUACAUCAGUUUUCAACUUUUGAUUCGUCUCUUCCCGUAUGGGUAGAAGCAGAAGGUAGAGUUAUCGGUAACAUACACAUUCCUGACAGCGUAUUUCAACAUAUACAAAAAAAUGUUGCAAAUGUUUAUGUUAUACAAGCUCCUUUGAAUGCAAGAGUGAAAUACCUUUUGUCCGAAUACAUGUAUUGGACUAACAAUCCAACAGAAUUGAAAGACAAUUUAGGAAGGCUUUCAAAACAUAAUCUCCCCUUGAAAAAGUGGUACAAGUUUAUUGAUGAAAGUAGGUUUGAAGACUUUGUUGCAGAUAUUUUGAAAAUUCAUUAUGACCCCUCAUACAUAAGAUCCAGAAAAAAGACGUUUAGUAGUAAUUCAUGUGAUGAAAUACUUGGGCUUGAAGAUGUAACUGUCAAAUCAUUAGCAAAUGUUGCUCAAAAAUUAUUGGUAGCUGCAGAUGUUGGACAAGUAGCUUAAGCUGUGCCAUAAACCUAUUAUUAUAGGUUUAUGCACCUCUCCUACUCGAAAAAAUAAUUGUCUCAUUUAGACAAAAAAAAUUAUUUUUAUGUAUACCUGGUAAAUCAAAUUACUAGCUUGAUAUUGAGCAAAUUGCAGAAGCGCAAGGAGCGUCAAAAUUUUUUGUGUUUUUAAGAUUGUGGAGCUUUUGAAUUUUAAAAUUAAAUUUGUCUAUAAAGUUGUAGAUACACUACCUAAAUGCUUGUGUUCAUCAAUUUGAUUAUUUGGCUAUUAGAAAUAAGGAUAAAUAGACAAUAUUCAACUUGUACUGUGGGAUUUACCAUGUGUUGGAAAAUGACUUAUUCAUUCAAUAUUUAUUUGUAUAACUGCCAUAAGAAUAGUUUUGGCAUCAGGCACACAUGUGGGCAUAUACAUGUGUCAUAUCUGAACUGUUUCUCUCGCUCUUCAAAAGAGCUAUAUUUUGAGAAUUCAACAAACAUUAUUCCAAGCAUGUUUAACAAGAAUUGAUAGAAGAGGUUUCUUCAACACCGCGGGGUUGGUAUUUCCCACUUGGGAUUGGAGAGAAAAUUGUAUCACUGUUUUUAUCAUCAAAAAGCUCUGCGAAGAAGCUAACAACUAAAGGAGACCAUUUGUUGGAAUAUGCAUCUUCGCUAGAGGGUACAGUGAAACUGGGAAUUAUUGGUUCUUGUGCUUGUGUCGGCGGUGUUUUGUCCUUGAUCUUGAGACCUAAAGGCAGUAUACGAAAGCUCUUUUAUCCAUCGGCCUUGAUCGCAACAUCAUCUGCAAUCUGUUAUCCAUCUACUGCAUAUGCUGUGACCAAAGUGACUGCUGUGAAUGUUUACAAUGUUUCCAAAGCCACUAAAGACAAAAUAUACCAGUGGCAAAAUGCUCGUAAACAAGUUGAUAAGUUGCAACGAGAAGACUUAAUUAGCGUUGACAAAUCAAUAUCGGAGGUGGAAAACCAUUUUGAUACAGCACCUGUUAUGAUUAUUCCAAUAUCUGAUCAUCUGCUGGAAAAAGAAACAUCAAGUGAUAUUGAAGUAGAUAUACCCAAACAACCGAGUACCAACAGUGAAGAACCUCAGUUGGGAGUCACACUGCCAUCGACUGGAGAAUCAAACAGUAUAAUGAAGAUCGAUGAUGAUGAUUCAACAAAGAAAGUUACAAAAGAAUCUAUUCAAGAUAUGGGACAAUCUUCUAACGAAGACAGUGAUCUUUAUACUACUAGGUUGUAACGUAACAACCCUUCCUUUUUGUCUAUAUUAAUAUUUUGGUAUGUGCUUUACUUCAAAUAUACCAUCCUAUCCAUCCUGCCGUUUUAAAUUGUAAAGGGUUGUUCCAGGACAAAACUAGUUUAAAAUUUUAUAAAACUGAUAUUUUUCAACUUUGAUAAUAAUUCUUGUCACAAAUAUUUACCUAUUAAAAGGUUAAAAAUAGUAAAUAUGGUCGCUUUAAUGGCUUUUCUAAGUUUGUAAAACUAUACUCCUUUAACCAGUAAACAAAAUAUGCAAUUUAGAAUAAAUGAACGGUUUUGUCGUAAUAAUGCCUUUAUUUUCGAAAAAAGAUAAGAAAAAGCAACAUAUUGCUAUACUAAUUUGUCUAAGCGGCAACGAAUCUGAGAGUUUAUAUUCCUUACUAUUUUGGAUGUUUUUAUUUUAGACCCGUUUAUUUAAAAAAAUGAAAUGAUAAUUUUAUUCA